ACAUGCCUACAACAUAGCGUUAAUGCACCGGAUCCCAUUAGAACUCCGCAAUUAAGCGCGCUCAAGCUAGAGUACAACUGCGAUGGGUGACCGCUAGAGAAUUCCUAGUGUUUCACAUGCC
rfam:Picea glauca, whole genome shotgun sequence.